rnacentral:rRNA from 1 species
GAUGAACGCUAGCUACAGGCUUAACACAUGCAAGUCGAGGGGUAACGAGAGGAAAGCUUGCUUUCCUUGUCGACGACCGGCGCACGGGUGAGUAACGCGUAUCCAACCUGCCCCCAACUAGGGAAUAACCUUGCGAAAGUAAGACUAAUACCCUAUGAUUUCCUUUGAUGACAUCAGAUUAGGAAUAAAGAUUUAUCGGUUAUAGAUGGGGAUGCGUCUGAUUAGCUUGUUGGCGGGGUAACGGCCCACCAAGGCAACGAUCAGUAGGGGUUCUGAGAGGAAGGUCCCCCACAUUGGAACUGAGACACGGUCCAAACUCCUACGGGAGGCAGCAGUGAGGAAUAUUGGUCAAUGGGCGGAAGCCUGAACCAGCCAAGUAGCGUGCAGGAUGACGGCCCUAUGGGUUGUAAACUGCUUUUAUACAGGAAUAAAGUUAGCCACGUGUGGUUAUUUGUAGGUACUGUAUGAAUAAGGACCGGCUAAUUCCGUGCCAGCAGCCGCCGUAA